rnacentral:rRNA from 1 species
GAUGAACGCUGACAGAAUGCUUAACACAUGCAAGUCGAUUCAACUUACCUUCGGGUAUUGAGGAUGGCGGACGGGUGAGUAACGCGUAAGGAACUUGCCUCUUGGUCUGGGACAACUGUUGGAAACGACAGCUAAUACCGGAUAUUAUGAGAUUCUCGCAUGGGAAACUUAUGAAAGCUAUAUGCGCCAAGAGAGAGCCUUGCGUUCCAUUAGCUAGUUGGUGGGGUAACGGCCCACCAAGGCGACGAUGGAUAGCCGGCCUGAGAGGGUGAACGGCCACAAGGGGACUGAGACACGGCCCUUACUCCUACGGGAGGCAGCAGUGGGGAAUAUUGGACAAUGGGCCACAAGCCUGAUCCAGCAAUUCUGUGUGCACGAUGAAGGUCUUCGGAUUGUAAAGUGCUUUCAGUUGGGAAGAAGAAAGUGACGGUACCAACAGAAGAAGCGACGGCUAAAUACGUGCCAGCAGCCGCGGUAAUACGUAUGUCGCAAGCGUUAUCCGGAUUUAUUGGGCGUAAAGCGCGUCUAGGCGGAAAAAUAANUCUGAUGUUAAAAUGCGGGGCUCAACUCCGUAUUGCGUUGGAAACUGUUUUUCUAGAGUACUGGAGAGGUGGGCGGAACUACAAGUGUANAGGUGAAAUUC